rnacentral:lncRNA from 1 species
GCUGGUGUAUAAUAAUUUGUAGGUUUCGUUACAUAGUACUUAUCUGCAGUGUUGCCGGUUGAUUCAUAUGAUCGGCUAGCGUCUUUCUGAGCUCAAGGUGGGACUCCCUGAUGAACGUUUACACCGCCUUUCUUUAAAAUUUGUUGCUGUGAGUUUCUUGGGAUUCUGCUUUUCCCACAGAUGUUGCAUUCCUUUUAGUUUCUUCUAAUCUACCCGGAACCUCGUCUCGGCCAUACAGGAUUGUAUUUCUGUUGCAGUACUGCACUAAUAGUAC